UACGAAGGGGGCUAGCGUUGCUCGGAAUUACUGGGCGUAAAGCGCACGUAGGCGGCUUUCUAAGUCGGGGGUGAAAUCCUGGAGCUCAACUCCAGAACUGCCUUCGAUACUGGGAAGCUCGAGUCCGGGAGAGGUAAGUGGAACUGCGAGUGUAGAGGUGAAAUUCGUAGAUAUUCGCAAGAACACCAGUGGCGAAGGCGGCUCACUGGCCCGGUACUGACGCUGAGGUGCGAAAGCGUGGGGAGCAAACAGG
rnacentral:rRNA from 1 species